GAUUAACGCUGGCGGCGUGCAUAACACGUGCAAGUCGAACGAUGAAACUUAGUCGACUUCUUCGGAAAGACACUAAGCGGAUUAGUGGCGAACGGGUGAGUAACGCGUGAGUAACCUGCCUUACACAAGGGGAUAGCCUUUGGAAACGAAGAAUAAUACCCUAUAAAACCAUAAAAGCACAUGCUAGAAUGGUCAAAGUGAUAGCGGUGUAAGAUGGACUUGCGUCUGAUUAGCUAGUUGGUGAGAUAAAAGCUCACCAAGGCAACGAUCAGUAGCCGGCUUGAGAGAGUGUACGGCCACAUUGGGACUGAGACACGGCCCAGACUCCUACGGGAGGCAGCAGUGGGGAUUUUGCACAAUGGGGGAAACCCUGAUGCAGCGACGCCGCGUGAUUUAGAAGGCCUUCGGGUUGUAAAAAUCUUUUGUAUAGGAAGAAAAUGACAGUACUAUACGAAUAAGGUCCGGCUAAUUACGUG
rnacentral:rRNA from 1 species